GAUGAAGAACGUAGCGAAAUGCGAUACGUAAUGUGAAUUGCAGAAUUCAGUGAAUCAUCGAAUCUUUGAACGCAUAUUGCGCUCUCUGGUAUUCCGGAGAGCAUGCUUGUUUGAGUAUCAGUAAACACCUCAACUUCCAUAUCUUUUUUGAAAUGGGAGUUGGACUUGAGUGAUCCCAACGCUUUUCCUCACCGAAAAGUGGCGGGUUACUUGAAAUGCAGGUGCAGCUGGACUUUUCUCUGAGCUAUAAGCAUAUCUAUUUAGUCUGCCUAAAAAACAGAUUAUUACCUUUGCUGCAGCUAACAUAAAGGAGAUUAGUUCUUGUGCUGACUGAUGCAGGAUUCACAAAGACAGCUUCGGCCGACUUUGAAAACUCGAUCUCAAAUCAAGUAAGACUACCCGCUGAACUUAAGCAUAUCAAUAAGCGGAGGA
rnacentral:misc_RNA from 1 species